UCACAAGAGUUAAGCUGUCUGACUCAACUAGAAGACUCUCACUCGUGCUUGUCUUGCUAAAAAAUCUUAGCGUUUCAACCAACGCCAGAGCCUCCGUCUGUGCGGCCGAGCUCGACCUCACCUCCAUCGCGAAACCAUCAAUUAACUGUCCAUGGCAGUUCGGCCCAACACAGCUGAUGGCCCCAGUCGUCGAUCCUUCAACUAAGGAAGCAUCCACGUUGAAUUUAAGGGUUCCGUUGCGGGGUUUUUUCCAAAUCUGAGGAACUUUCUUGCGGAAGAUGAAGCCAUUCCUUUCUUUCCAUAUACACCAAAGAACAGUGGCAACGAGGUCAAAGCUCACCGAGGUAUGUUGAAGAUUUAGAAUUCCAUGGAAGUACUUGAGGAUGUUCUUUAAUUUCUCAUCACUUUCCUUGCUAGGAAAGACAGGGAAUUAAAGGUCAACAGUUUUCAGUGUCUACAAUCGAUUCUUGCCAUUGAGAGUUGAGAUAAUGUUCCAACUGAUGGGGCUCUUCUUUCAACACUCAAGAUGAUGACUCGUAAGUCAUAACUUCCCAAUUGAGUUGUGGAGAUGGACAUGGCCGCGAAGGGAUAAUUCGAGUCAAUUGUUAUCUUCCCAAAGAUUGAGACAUCCAUGUUCAACAAGUGAAAAUGACUCGUUCUCACUCGCUCUGUCCGCGAUCCACUGUUGUAGCUCAAUAGCGGUCCAACCUACGUAAUUUCAAUCAUCCAAUAAAGUAAACUUCCAUUUCUUUGUAA